AGAUGGAAUCAUUUCCAGAAGGGAUCCUUGUGCCAAGUUUGAGGGAACUUUAUAUUCAAUACUGUGGCAGGCUAUUAUCCCAUCAAGCAGAGUGGCACCUCCUAACUAAUAUUACUUACCUUCUUAUUCGUGGUUCAAAUGUCAAGUGUUUCCCGGAGGGCUUCUCUCUUCCUACCACUCUCAUCACUCUGGAGCUCGAGUACAACUUCCACUUGGAGACGUUGGAUUGCACAGGACUUGAGCACCUAACCUCUCUCCAACAACUCAACAUCAUAUUUUGUUUCAAGCUGGAGAAAAUGUCUGGAGAAAAGCUGCCUUCUUCUUAAGAAAGCUUUGCAUUGAGAGUUGUCGUUUGUUGGAAGAAAAAUACCACAAGAAGGAUGAAGAUCUUAUGCGCCGCAUAUCCCACAUCCCACUCAUCCAAUUUUUUUGAUUUAUGAAUUCCUGAUAUGAGAUACAAUUAUCCACAAGAGAUGCUCCACAUUAUUCAAUCAUAUUGAAGGUAGUGUCCAACAGAUGCGAGCUAGUUCUGAUUCAUAAAAGCAACACAGUGCUGCUGCUUCUUCACAAUGUUUAAUUUUGUAACUAAGAUCCUUCAUAUAUUUCUAAUAAGCACCAGCCAAAAAGAUAGGAAGGGAUUUGCAGUCUUGAAUCUGUACCAAGAAGAAAAGCUCAUUGAAAUCUGAUCUGGUCCAUAUCUUCUUCAUUAAUUUUCUGAUUUUCUUGAAGUGUUCUUCUUGAUACUCGAGCAUUUAAUUAUCUUUUUAAUGAUUUCAAGACCUGUAAAUUGUGUAUUGUGUUAUGAUUACUCGUUACUUAUUAAAUUCCCAGGCUUCAUUCAUGCCUGGGGUGAGGAUGUAGGAUUCAAUUUUUGAAUCCGAACCUCUAUAUAUCAUGGUGUCAUCAUGUAAUCUUUUUUUGUUUUUGUUUAAAUUCCACAUCAUCGCAGGAUUAAUGAUAUUUUCGUUGAAUCAAACGCGCAAGCUUGCUUUCAAAAUAGAAAUUAUAAUUAUAAA